rnacentral:rRNA from 1 species
CCUACGGGCGGCAGCAGUGGGGAAUAUUGCACAAUGGGGGAAACCCUGAUGCAGCGACGCCGCGUGAGUGAAGAAGUAUUUCGGUACGUAAAGCUCUAUCAGCAGGGAAGAAAAUGACGGUACCUGACUAAGAAGCCCCGGCUAACUACGUGCCAGCAGCCGCGGUAAUACGUAGGGGGCAAGCGUUAUCCGGAUGUACUGGGUGUAAAGGGAGCGUAGACGGCAGCGACAGUCUGGAGUGAAAUCCCAUGGCUUAACCAUGGAACUGCUUUGGAAACUGUGCAGCUAGAGUGCAGGAGAGGUAAGCGGAAUUCCUAGUGUAGCGGUGAAAUGCGUAGAUAUUAGGAGGAACACCAGUGGCGAAGGCGGCUUACUGGACUGUAACUGACGUUGAGGCUCGAAAGCGUGGGGAGCAAACAGGAUUAGAUACCCUAGUAGUC